rnacentral:lncRNA from 1 species
AGAGUCGUAAGCCCUUAAAAGGGCCAGGAACUCUUUCUUCGGGGAGCUUGGUUCUUGAGAUGCAAGUCUGUCGACGCUCCCAGCGGAAUAAAGCCUCUUCCUUCUUUAACCUGGUGUCUGAAGGGUUUUGUCUGUGGCUUGUCCUGCUACAUUUCUUGGUUUCCUGACCGGGAAGUGAGGUGAUUAAGGGACAGUCGAGGCAGCCCCUUAGGCGGCUUAGCCCUGCCCUGCAGAGCAUCCCUGUGGGGUACUCCGGCCAGCUUGAGCAAUGUGGAUCCUGAGAGUGCUCCUGGGUAGGCAUUUGCCCCAGUGGAAUGCCUCAUCAGAGUGGUGCAUGGCAGGCCCCCACGGAGGAUCAAUACAGGGGCUGAACACUGGGAAGGAACUGGCGCGUGGAGUCCGGACAUCUGGAAUAUGGGAGAGCGCAGCCUGGGAUCACAAAGAAAGCAAGUCAUCUGCAACUUGCUGGAGCCUAAGACCAGAAGGCAGGCCCGACUUCCGAGACCAUCCUUGGAUGUCAGUAGACUGGGAGCUGUACGUGGACGGGAGCAACUUUGUCAACUCACAAGGAGAGAGGUGUGUGGGAUAUGCAGUGGUAACCCUGGAUGCUGUCAUUGAAGCCAAAUCGUUGCCCCAGGGCACUUCAGCCCAGAAGGCCGAACUCAUUGCUUUAAUUCGGGCCUCAGAGCUAAGCGAAGGUAAGACUGUAAACAUUUACACUGACUCUCAGUGUGCCUUUUUAACUCUCCAAGUGCAUGGGGCAUUAUACAAGGAAAAAGGCCUAUUGAACUCUGGGGGAAAAGACAUAAAAUAUUAGCAAGAGAUCCUGCAAUUAUUAGAGGCAGUUUGGAAGCCCCAAAAGGUGGCAGUCAUGCACUGCAGAGGACGCCAGUGAGCUUCCACCUUGAUCACCUUGGGGAACUCCUGAGAUGACUCAGGGGCUCAAAAAGCAGCAUCCACCCCCUCCCGGGCAUCAGUCACAGCCCCCCUGCUCCCUCAGGCACCUGACCUUGUACCUACUUAUUCUAAAGAAGAGAAGGACUUUCUCCAGGCAGAGGGAGGGCAGGUGAUAGAAGAGGGAUGGAUCCGGUUAUCAGAUGGAAGAAUAGCUGCGCCACAACUGCUAGGAGCCGCAGUUGUAUUGGCUGUGCAUGAGACCACCCACCUAGGCCAAGAGUCACUUGAAAAGUUGUUAGGCCGGUACUUCUACAUCUUGCAUCUGUCAGCCCUUGCCAAAACAGUGGUGUAGCAGUGUCAGCUGCCGGCAGCACAAUGCUAGGCAAGGUCCAACUGUCCCACCCGGCAUACAAGUUUAUGGAGCACCCCCCUUUGAAGAUCUCCAAGUAAACUUCACCAAGAUGCCCAAAUGUGGAGGUAACAAGUAUUUGCUAGUUCUAAUGGGUACACACUCUGGGUAGGUGGAGGCCUAUCCAACACGGACCAAGAAAGCUCGUGAAGUAACCCGUGUGCUUCUCCGAGAUCUCAUCCCUAGGUUUGGACUGCCCUUACGAAUUGGCUCAGACAACCGGCUGGCGUUUGUGGCUGACUUGGUACAGAAGAGAGCAAAGGUAUUGGGAUCACAUGGAAACUACAUACUACCUACUGACCACAAAGUUCUGGAAACGUGGAGUGGAUGAAUCAGACUAUCAAAAAUAGUUUAGGUGAUCGGGUGUGGAUCAAGGAUUGGAACGUAGCCCCCUUGCGGCCAUGGUGGAAAAGACCCCAGACCGUCAUCUUCACCACUCCCACAGUUGUAAAGGUAGAGGGAAUCCCAGCCUGGAUCCACCACAGCCAUGUAAAACCUGCAGCACCUGAGACCUGGGAAGCGAGACCAAGCCCAGACAACCCCUGCAAAGUGACUCUGAAGAAGACAACAAACCCUGCUCCAGUCACAGCCAGAAGCUGACUGGUCCACGCAUGGCUGAAGCAUAAGGAAACUCAUCAUGAGACUCAUUUUCCUUAAAUUUUGAACUUGUACAGUAAGGACUUCAACUGACCUUCCUCAGACUGAGGACUGUACCCAGUGUAUACAUCAAGUCACUGAGGUAGGACAAAAGGUUGUUGCAGUCCUAUUAUUUUAUAGUUGUUAUGAGUGUACCGGGACUCUAAAAGGAACUUGUUUGUAUAAUGCUACUCUAUACAAGGUAUGUAGCCCAGGAAGUUACCAGCCUGAUGUGUGUUAUAACCCAUCUGAGCCCCCUAUGACUACCGUUUUUGAAAUAAGAUUGAGGACUGGCAGCUGGGGAAAAGCUGAUACGAGUAAAUAACUGGAACAGAAGAGAAAGGAGCCCCAAACAAAUUAUCUUAAAAUUUGAUGCCUGUGCAGCAAUCAACAGUGACCUGUAUGGAAAUAGGAUAAGAUGUGGCUCUCUAGAUUGGGAAAGGGGCUAUGUAGUAGAAAAUAAGUAUGUUUGUCAUGAAUUAGGAAUGUGUAGUGAUGAAUGUAGUUACUGGUCCUGUGUCAUUUAGGCCACCUGGAAAAAAAGAUAAGAGGGACCCUGUCCGCCUUCAAAAAGGAAAGAGUAACUCUUCCUGCACUAGUGGUCAUUGUAACCCAUUAGAACUACUAAUUACCAAUCUCCUUGAUCCCUGUUGGAAAACAGGAGAGUACGUAACUCUAGGAAUUGAGGGAACUGGACUGGAUCUCCGAGUAAAUAUUUUAAUCCCAGGGGAGGUCCAUAGGUGCUUUCCCAAACCAGUGUUUCAGACCUUUUACGAUGAAUUGAAUCUGCCAGCACCAGAGCUUACACACACACACACACACACACACACACACACACACACACAAAGACAAAGAACUUGUUUCUCCAGUUAUUAGGAAAUGUAUCUCAUUCCCUCAAUGUUACUUCCUGUUACGUAUGUCGGGGAACCACUAUGGGAGACCAAUGGCCUUGGGAAGCCCGGGAAUUGGUACCUACUGAUCCAGUUCCUGACAUAAUUCCAGUCCAGAGGCCCAAAUUAGCAACUUCUGGGUCCUGAAAACCUUGAUUAUUGGAUAAUACUGCAUAGCUAGAGAAGGAAAAGACUUCACCAUCCUUGUAGGAAGUCUCAAUUGUCUAGGACAGAAGCUGUGUAACAGCACAACAGGGACAGUCACCUGGUGGGGUCUAAACCAUACUGAAAAGAAUCCCUUCAGUAAAUUUCCUAAAUUACAGACUGCUUAGGUCCAUCCAGAAUCUCAUCGAGACCGGAUGGCUCCCUCUGGACUAUACUGGAUAUGUAGACACAGAGCCUACACUCUGUCACCUGAUCAAUGGGGAAGUAGUUGUGUCAUUGGCACCAUUAAGCCAUCCCUUUUCCUAUUGCCCGUAAAAACAGGUGAGCUCCUAGAUUUCCCUGUCUAUGCCUGAGAAAAGAGGAGCAUAUCUAUAGGAAAUUGGAAAGAUUAUGAGUGGCCCCCCGAAAGGAUCAUACAGUACUAUAGGCCUGCCACACGAACACAAGACGGCUCGUGGGGAUACCGAACCCCCAUCUACAUGCUCAACCAGAUCAUAUGGUUACAGGCCAUAUUAGAAAUAAUCGCUAAUGAAACUAGCAGAGCUUUGACUCUUUUAGUCCAGCAGGAAACCCAAAUGAGAAAUGCCAGCUAUCAGAAUAGAUUGGCCUUAAGACUAUUUGCUGGCAACUGAAGGAGGAGUCUGUGGAAAAUUCAACUUGACCAAUUGCUGUCUACAAAUAGAUGAUCAAGGACAAGUAGUUGAAAAUAUAGUUAGAGACAUGACAAAGCCAGCACAUGUGCCCAUGCAGAUUUGGCAUAGGUUUGAUCCUGGAUCUUUGUUUGGAAAAUGGUUUCCAGCUCUAGGAGGAUUUAAAACUCUUGUAAUAGGCAUAAUAAUAGUGUUAGGAACCUGCAUGUUACUCCCCUGUAUGUUACACAUAUUUCUCCAGUUACUAAGAGGCUUCGUUACCACCUUAGUUCAUCAAAACACCUCAGCACAAGUAUACAUGAAUCACUAUUAAUCUGUCUCACAGGAAGAUCUAGAUAGUGAGGAUGAGAAUGAGAACUCUCACUAGUGAGUGAGGUUCUCAAAGGGGGAAAUGAGGAGAGAGGCUAUUUCUCCUACUGUCCUGUCUCCAAAGAAAAGGAGAAAGUAAAAACUGAAAAAUAACAGACUGAUUGGCGCCACUGGCCAGGCCUGUAGGUUAAAGAUUAACCCCCACCCAAACCGCUUGUGCUAUCCAUAGACCACAGACAAUGGUAUGGAGAAAUACUUGCCUUCCUCACCACCCCUACCUAGUCAUGCAGACAAUGGUAUGGAGAAAUACUUGCCUUGGUCACCACCCUAUCUAGUCGCGUACCCCAUGCUUGCUCAAUCUAUCACAACUUUUUCACGUGGACCCCUUAGAGUUGUAAGCCCUUAAAAGGGCCAGGAACUCUUUCUUCAGGGAGCUCGGUUCUUGAGAUACAAAUCUGCCAAUGCUCCCAGCCGAAUAAAGCCUCUUCCUUCUUU